rnacentral:rRNA from 1 species
CCUACGGUAGGCAGCAGUGAGGAAUAUUGGUCAAUGGCCGGAAGUCUGAACCAGCCAUGCCGCGUGAAGGUCAGUGCCCUAUGGGCGUUAAACUUCUUUUGUGCGGGAGCAAUAAUGGUAACGUGUGGCCAGACGAGAGUACCGUACGAAUAAGCAUCGGCUAACUCCGUGCCAGCAGCCGCGGUAAUACGGGUGAUGCAAGCGUUAUCCGGAUUUAUUGGGUUUAAAGGGUGCGUAGGCUGUGAGGUAAGUCAGCGGUGAAAUGCCCCCGCUCAACGGGGUGAAGUGCCAUUGAUACUGCCUUGCUGGAAUGCGGAUGCCGUGGGAGGAAUGUGUGGUGUAGCGGUGAAAUGCAUAGAUAUCACACAGAACACCGAUUGCGAAGGCAUCUCACGAAUCCGCGAUUGACGCUGAUGCACGAAAGCGUGGGUAUCAAACAGGAUUAGAUACCCUGGUAGUC